rnacentral:misc_RNA from 1 species
CAAAAUUCAAGCUCAGCUUGGUGAUGGACGUCUGUCCCGCCUCCGCGCGCGGACUCGCCUCAAAAGUAGUUGGCAGCUCCCUUAUCGGCACUGAACGCAGCAAAUUUGCGGGACGCACCGAAGAAAGGGGCUUACCAGUAAGCAAACCACCCCAGA